rnacentral:lncRNA from 1 species
CGGCGAUAACAUCAACACUGAGCUCGCGCGCGACGCUUCGUCUUAAAAAAAUAUCACUUAUUAUCUGAAUGCGGGGGAAACGGCACGAUCGGACCGCGUUUAGAGAGUAAAAUCGCCUGCGAUCUAGUGUCGACGAGCACAGAAGUGACCAGUACGAGCCGAGUGUGGAGCCGAAGGAGAAAAGGGGGCUAUCGCUCAGCUGCGCAUGUAGAAAACCUGCGAUUUUUAAAAAAUAAUAUAUAAAAAUAACGCUCGAUGCGAGGAAAAAUAUUGAAAAAUUCUGGAAAAUACCAGAGGAUUUUAGGAUUGGGAUUCUGCGCGGCGGUGGUGAAGAUUGUGUCAUUUUGGGGUUUUUUCACGUCGCUUUUUGAGCGGGAGUAACGGACGAGUCGCUGGCGCAGAUACACGCAGUUCAGUCCGAGUCUGUGAUGCAUCAGAUUAUAGAGGAGACAUCAGCCUUUUUAGCCGGAAAGGAAUGUAGAGCACACGGCAUGACACUGAGCUGUGACACAGUCAAGUUACUGUUGCGAGACGCGGAGCGUGUCUGUGCGGCGGUGUGGGCGCUCGUGCGCUCGGCGCGGGGCCUGUCGGUACUGUAGCAGCACAGAAUGGUUUGUGAGUUAUAACGGGGGUGCAGGCCGUACUGUGCUGCGGCAAGAACGACAGGACAUACGCGUACGUCACAUUCAAACGAGUGAACAGACAGCAGCAGCAGCAAGACUACGUGUGCCAGCAAGUCUCCUGAACUUGGCCGUGUGACUGACUGGCUGCCUGGCUGUAGCAGCACGUAAAUAUUGGAGUCAAAGCACUAGCGAAUCCUCCAGUAUUGACCGUGCUGCUGGAGUUAGGCGGGCCGUUUACCGUCUGCGGCGGCCUGUGUGCUUCGGGAUCACUCAUCAGGAAAGCACAACAAGAUUAACGACUGACUAAUAACAUACUGUGCACAUGCCGGUGUUCUGAACGCUUUUAUUCUGAGAACGGAUGACAUGGAAUUUGAUCAAACAUCAAAUAAGCUGUAUAAUUAUGUAAUUUCAGUUUAAAUGAGUCAGAUGCUUCUUUAAAAGUGCUUGGAGCUCGUUGAUACAAUUUAUGUACAUGCAAAAAUGCAAUAAAGGAAAAUAACAUUAAAAUCACAACGAUUGCAUCAAGGAAAAUUAAUUGUGUAGAGUCGCGUUGUGCGCGAAUUCUGCAGUUUGUCAAAUACAUAAAUCUGCCACAUUUCUCA